AUUAGUGGCGAACGGGUGAGUAACACGUGGGCAAUCUGCCCUUCACUCUGGGACAAGCCCUGGAAACGGGGUCUAAUACCGGAUAACACUCUGUCCCGCAUGGGACGGGGUUAAAAGCUCCGGCGGUGAAGGAUGAGCCCGCGGCCUAUCAGCUUGUUGGUGGGGUAAUGGCCUACCAAGGCGACGACGGGUAGCCGGCCUGAGAGGGCGACCGGCCACACUGGGACUGAGACACGGCCCAGACUCCUACGGGAGGCAGCAGUGGGGAAUAUUGCACAAUGGGCGAAAGCCUGAUGCAGCGACGCCGCGUGAGGGAUGACGGCCUUCGGGUUGUAAACCUCUUUCAGCAGGGAAGAAGCGAAAGUGACGGUACCUGCAGAAGAAGCGCCGGCUAACUACGUGCCAGCAGCCGCGGUAAUACGUAGGGCGCAAGCGUUGUCCGGAAUUAUUGGGCGUAAAGAGCUCGUAGGCGGCUUGUCACGUCGGAUGUGAAAGCCCGGGGCUUAACCCCGGGUCUGCAUUCGAUACGGGCUAGCUAGAGUGUGGUAGGGGAGAUCGGAAUUCCUGGUGUAGCGGUGAAAUGCGCAGAUAUCAGGAGGAACACCGGUGGCGAAGGCGGAUCUCUGGGCCAUUACUGACGCUGAGGAGCGA
rnacentral:rRNA from 1 species